AUGCCGAUGGCGAUGGGGCAAGCCACAGAACAACCAAGCCGCGUCACAACCGCCGCCGGAGACCUCUACAACAAGACCAAAACUCGAAGCCAACACAAACCAACGUACCCCACCCAUUGCGCCAAGAAUAAGUCGGCAAGUGGACGGCAGGGCCUGGGCGGACCUAGAGACGGCGUCAUUGAGAGAGCGCCCGUGAUGGUGUACAUUGCGCCAAGGAGGCCCAUGCCCAUAGUAGCAGCCGACACCGAAGUGAGCCGUGCCACCGGAACUCCUCGGGCAACAAGACGACGCCUUCAAAAAGGGAACGACGCCAUGGCGCCGCCGUCGCCUGGUGCAAAGAACGGACCAAGGGUUUCCCCUGAGCACGAGGAAGGGAGUUGGAUCGGGGCCAAAGCAACGCCUCCAGGGAGGGGACGGCGUCCACAGACGUCACCGUUGCAAGCCUCGACGUCGCGAAGCAGGGAUUUCUCCCAGCGCAAGAUCACAAACCCAAACUUCCGGAGCUGCUCAAUCGAGCCGACCACCACGAUGGGAGGUGUCGUAACACGCAGCACAUCAGCCUACCAGCCUCCACCAUCUUCAACGCCCUGGCCAGUGCCACCGCGGCCAAGGACAACUCCUCCACAUCCACCACCACCACAGUCACGCAUCCAUCCCACCACCAACCUCCUCCUCCACGGAGUGGCAGCCUCCUCCAACCUCCAGCCGCAGCCAAGGCAGGCCGUGUCAAACCAGACGGGAGGGAAGACCCCCUCGAGCUGCUGCCUCCGCCUGAACCACCACCGGCACCGCUCCUCGCCCGAGCCACCCCGAGCCCGCAGCCGACGCCGGGUUCACACCCAGCCAGAACCGCGGCCGCGGCGCCCUACCAGUGCUCCUGCGCACCACCAUGGAGGCCAGCCACUAGCUGCCCGCGGCCGCCGCCGCGCAGCACCACCGUCCCGCGCACGACGCCAGAGCCCAGAUCCGGCAAGACCGCGCCAUCCCUGUGGCCGAAGCCGUCACCGCCGUCGAGCGGACCACCCGAGCUGCCGCGCACCGGCCAGCUCGUCCCGGGGCCGCCGCCCCGGCCUCCUCGCGCUGGUCCGCCAGCCGCCGCCGUCCCAGUCAACAGGACUGGCCUCCAGCGCUGCCCUGGGAGAGGGAGAGAGCAUCCCCGCCACCUUCGGCAGCAGGGCCCGCCACAACCGCGGCGAAGGCCGGUGGCAGCGGCGGCGAACGGGAGCAGGGCAGGGGGGCUUGAGCGGCGGCGGCACUAGGGUUUCCCUGGCGUCCCCUGGGAGCGACGCGAGGGAUAUGUCAUUCUAG
rnacentral:rRNA from 1 species